rnacentral:SRP_RNA from 1 species
GGGCAAGUCCUACACGACCAGCUCGGUUUGAACCCCGCCAGGGCCGGAAGGCAGCAACGGUAGAACUUUGAGCGGUGCGAUGUGGGUCGCUUGCCCAUU